rnacentral:rRNA from 1 species
UUAACACGGAGAUGACAACAGGGAUUGCCCUAGUAACGGCGAGUGAAGCGGCAACAGCUCAAAUUUGAAAUCUGGCUCUUUCAGGGUCCGAGUUGUAAUUUGCAGAGGGCGCUUUGGCGUUGGCAGCGGUCUAAGUUCUUUGGAACAGGACGUCACAGAGGGUGAGAAUCCCGUACGUGGUCGCUAUCCUUCGCCGUGUAAAGCCCCUUCGACGAGUCGAGUUGUUUGGGAAUGCAGCUCUAAAUGGGAGGUAAAUUUCUUCUAAAGCUAAAUACUGGCCAGAGACCGAUAGCGCACAAGUAGAGUGAUCGAAAGAUGAAAAGCACUUUGGAAAGAGAGUCAAAUAGCACGUGAAAUUGUUGAAAGGGAAGCGCUUGCAGCCAGACUUGCCUGUAGUUGCUUAUCCGGACUUUUGUCCGGUGCACUCUUCUGCGGGCAGGCCAGCAUCAGUUUGGGCGGUUGGAUAAAGGUCUCUGUCAUGUACCUCUCUUCGGGGAGGCCUUAUAGGGGAGACGACAUGCAACCAGCCUGGACUGAGGUCCGCGCAUCUGCUAGGAUGCUGGCGUAAUGGCUGUAAGCGGCCCGUCUUGAAACACGGACCAAGGAGUCUAACAUCUAUGCGAGUGUUUGGGUGUCAAGCCCAGACGCGUAAUGAAAGUGAAUGGAGGUGGGAACCCUUUGGGUGCACCAUCGACCGAUCCUGAUGUCUUCGGAAGGAUUUGAGUAAGAGCAUGGCUGUUGGGACCCGAAAGAUGGUGAACUAUGCUUGAAUAGGGUGAAGCCAGAGGAAACUCUGGUGGAGGCUCGCAGCGGUUCUGACGUGCAAAUCGAUCGUCAAAUUUGGGCAUAGGGGCGAAAGACUAAUCGAACUAUCUAGUAGCUGGUUCCUGCCGAAGUCCCCCCCCCCAGGAAA